GGGUUUAAUUAGGAUUUGUCUGUGCAUGUUUUUACUGUCUGAGAUUUUGUUACUAUUCACAUGCAUACAGACUGAAACGGUUGGAGUUUCUACAUUUGUGUUGUACUGAAGAAACAAAAUCACAUACAUCUUGGAUGGCCUCGGGGUAAGCUGAUAAAUAUAAAAAAAUCAUUUUAAGAUGAAUCCCGUACGUUGGCGGCUGUUUUAAACUGGGUGCUCGGCUCAGACCCUUUUGCCAGUAUGAAGCCGAUUUCAACGGUAACUGCAGAAAGCGUCAGCACGCUCAGCUCAUCACUGGAGUAACGUCUGUACAACGGGUGAGAUAAAACUCAACGCCUGACUAAAUCAUCCAUUCCCUUUUCGAUCCUACGCCAUACGUUAAACUUGAGGUAAUCUUGCUUUUGCUCUUCUAAAAUAAACACUGCUCUUAGCACACCCCACCCUUACAUGGCACUCAAGUAUAUGACACACAACACAGGUCUUCUCAGGAGGCUGUGCCUACAGGUAGGAAUUAUACAAAGUGAUCUCUCUCGGUUUACUCUGACAUAUCUACGUACAAUGUUUUGCUAGUAAUCUGCUAUGCCUGCUUUUUCUUGUGUUCUACAGCAAUAGGCUUUAUGCCCAGCUGCACUACUUCCUGAACUUCAGCCAGCUCCUUGUUUCCUGUCUGCCAUUAUUGGACAAACUGAUUAAUCCAGGUGUGCCUGAGCUUAGUAGUCACAACAACAAUAAUCAGACACACCUGGAUUUAUCAGU